GCCUGGCUGGCUUAUCUGGUAGAGCAUGUGACUCUUGACCUCAGGGCUGUGAGUUUGAGCCCCAUGUUGGGUG
rfam:Canis lupus familiaris chromosome 6, whole genome shotgun sequence.